rnacentral:rRNA from 1 species
UACGUAGGGUCCGAGCGUUGUCCGGAAUUACUGGGCGUAAAGAGCUCGUAGGUGGUUUGUCGCGUUGUUCGUGAAAACUCACAGCUCAACUGUGGGCGUGCGGGCGAUACGGGCAGACUUGAGUACUGCAGGGGAGACUGGAAUUCCUGGUGUAGCGGUGGAAUGCGCAGAUAUCAGGAGGAACACCGGUGGCGAAGGCGGAUCUCUGGGCCAUAACUGACGCUGAGGAGCGAAAGCAUGGGGAGCGAACAGG